rnacentral:lncRNA from 1 species
CAGGCCCGCGGUUCUGAUACUCCCCGUAGAACAGGGUCUUCAAUGCGAAGUCGCCAUUCCACUCUAACCACCCUUUCGGGGCGAUGUGAUCGUCGAUAAACGACUGCAUGAACAGCGUCUUCGAAUACGCCUUCCACGGCCGGCCGAGGUACGACGGAAUGGCCUUCUUGACGGGCGAAAGGUCCGGCCCGGGCAACACCUGGCAGUUCUGGAUGGAGGUGGCGGUGCUCUGGUUCGGGUCCUCGCGGCCUUGGGCGGUGAUCGUGUUUUCUUGGUUCGGUAACGGCUUACGCGCGAUGAUCUGACAAUUCUGGAUCACUACGGCGGCAUUGCCGAAGAUGAAGUCAAUUGUGCCGGAUAUGUGGCUGUCGCGGUAGAACUGGCAGAGGGAGUGGGCGUAGAGGGUGUCCUGAUAGCUGUCGAUGCUGCAGGGGUUGAUAGCAGCCUUAUCGGCGCCGACGCGGAGGGCCACUGCCUGCUGCUUCUUUGGCCCAGCUGUGUUCUCGAUCUUGAGGUCUUGGAGAAUGAGUCCAUCGCCUACAGCAGCUGAACAACAGUUCUAACGUCAACCAACUGCAUUAAACAGUGGUGGUAGUUUAGCAAAAAUAUAACAGUUAAACUUGGUCUCUAUGUCUUUACCUAAUGUGGCGGAGUUGAAGGUGGUGGAGCCGUCGAUGACGUUGCGGCUCCCGGUGAUCACCGUCGCGCUCUUGCCGUCGCCGACGAUCAUCACGUUCUUCUUCGUCUUUCCUAUAUUGACGUUCUCCUUGUACACUCCUUUCUUUACGUAGAUCACGUACCUUGCGCUUUUCCUGCCGUCCCGUGCUGCAUCCACCGCCUCCUGCACCGUCGCAAACUUCCCGCUCCCGUCCUUUGCCACGAUCACAUCGGCCUGGAUUCCUCCGUCGGCCACAGAACCUUCUAGAAUCUUCCGGUCGUGGUGCGACAGCCACGAGGGGAACUUCUUGAACGUGAUGACGUCGUCGUCAGCGACGGGGGAGACGGCGUUGAGAACGGCGAGCGCGGCGCUGGCCAGGGCAUUGAGGGACUCCAAUUGUGGCCCCACCGAGGCUUUCGCCGACCUGCGGAGGCCGUCGCGGCACGUGCCGUAGUUGGUGAGCACGGCGCUCACCCACGUGCGAGCAUUGCAGCGGGCCGCCCCUCCGGCGACAGCCGCGAGCCGGUCUCGCGAAAGGUCCAUCAGCUGCAUGCAGUCAGAGAGAGCUGACUGCUGCUCCGGCUCGUUGAUUCGGAGACGGACGUCGGACACAGCAGCUGCUGCAACAUCUGGUACAGCGACUUAUUCACUAUUGCGGCCGGGAAAUAUUAUCACCGGCGGCAGUAGAGACUGCAGCGUCAGAGACAAUGGCGCUGCAGGACGCAGCGUUAGCAUUAGGAGAGUUGGUACAAAGAUCGGACAACUGAAUAGGAUUUAAAAUAGAAAUGUGAUGAAUGAUAGCAAAUCCGGUUACUGAGACGAGAGCGGCGAACAAGAACAGCUUACACAUCCAACUACUCUUUCUGGUAGGAGGAGAGAGGAGGAGGUGGUCAUGGGAUGGUGGAGACAUGGUGGGGAUUAAGACUCAAAGAUAAAAGAUGUGCGUGCAAGUAAAAGGAUAGCACUGCAAUGGCCUUUUUAAACUGAGGAGAUGGUGGAAGGAUAAGACUCAAAACUUUUCUCAAUAAGAUUCCAUGUUGACACGGAUCUUCUCUAAAGCAAGUGGCAAAAAGUUUGGUGGUUGGUAUCCGAAAUUCAAAUUUGAAUCCUAAUUUAUUCACAUUUUCAGCUACGUUUAUUUCCAAAUAAAAAAAAAAAUAAAACAGAUAGCGUUUAUUUCCAAAUAAGACUGCUUGGGAGAGUUGGUUUCCUUUUAGUUUUAGUGCUCCCUUUUGUUCUGUCACCAACUCACUCACUCUUGUAGCAUAUUUUUAAUUAGUUGGAUGAAAUACUAUUUAUUUAUUUAUUUAUUAAUUUAUCAAGUAAGAAACAAUUAAGUAGAUAUAAAAAUAUACUCAAAACAAGAGAUACUACCGAACCUAGAUUCCCCCGCUCCCAGUUUUAGAACACGUUUUAAAUCAAGGAGCUAGCCAGUGACCAAGCCAGAAAUUAAAAUUGGGAAAGGCCAAAAUUUAGAUUUGAUGGAAAAAAAAAUUCAAUCUCGAAUAGUAAAAAAAAUAAUUUGUCAGAUUUAUUGAUAACAACAAGAUGUUCAAAAAAGAAUAAGACUGUAAGAGUUGAAGUGAAAGAACCAAGAAAUUCGAAAAAAAUUUGAGACACAAAUUUUAUUAAAAAAUUAAUUUGGCCCCCUAAAAUUAAAAUUUAUAAUAUUUUAAUUUUUAUUAUAAAAAAUUUUUAUAUAAUUUUAAAAAAUUUAAGAAGGGCCAUGACCACUGUGGGCCCCUCAAUAGCUCCGUCCCCGGAGCUUCCUAAAGAACUGGCAAAGUAAAUAGCUCCACUUUUUAGUUGGGGUGGAAACGAGCCGAGCUCGAGCCCUAAACG